rnacentral:rRNA from 1 species
AUUGAACGCUGGCGGCAGGCCUAACACAUGCAAGUCGAGCGGAUGAAGGGAGCUUGCUCCUGGAUUCAGCGGCGGACGGGUGAGUAAUGCCUAGGAAUCUGCCUGGUAGUGGGGGAUAACGUCCGGAAACGGGCGCUAAUACCGCAUACGUCCUGAGGGAGAAAGUGGGGGAUCUUCGGACCUCACGCUAUCAGAUGAGCCUAGGUCGGACUAGCUAGUUGGUGGGGUAAAGGCCUACCAAGGCGACGAUCCGUAACUGGUCUGAGAGGACGAUCAGUCACACUGGAACUGAGACACGGUCCAGACUCCUACGGGAGGCAGCAGUGGGGAAUAUUGGACAAUGGGCGAAAGCCUGAUCCAGCCAUGCCGCGUGUGUGAAGAAGGUCUUCGGAUUGUAAAGCACUUUAAGUUGGGAGGAAGGGCAGUAAGUUAAUACCUUGCUGUUUUGACGUUACCAACAGAAUAAGCACCGGCUAACUUCGUG